UUUUUUUUUGUUUCCUUCAAGAUCAUCUUGUAUAAAGAUUGCACCUUAUUUUUUUUAGUAAAACACCAUUGUUUAAAUGGUCUCAAAUGAAAUAAUGACGAGAAUUUGAGAGUACUUCGAACAGCAAACAGUUCAAGUUCCAACAAGACUAUUAGUUUGCAUUCGAAUGAUUACAGUACUGAUUAGCAGUUUUUAAUACUCUUCAGCAGACGUGAACAAACGAUGAGGAACAAUUGUAUUAGUAGGAAUCUCGAAGUUGUCAACUAUAUAGAUUUUUUGGAGGGGUCAGGGGGGAGGAUCGAAACAUGUAUAUAUAUUACUCAAACGUGGCCAUUAGGCCGAGGUUUACAAAGGCAAAGCAAGCCAUGAGGAGAGGUAUUCCUGACAUGAUAUGGAAGCAACCUUAUCAGCCAGUUCUCUAAACCGCUAAGCUCAAAAUUUAAAAUCAUUACAAAUAUUUCGAAAAGUGGCAAUGACCUUCAUUCCCAAAGAUGGCAUCAACUAUAUAGAUAAAAAGGCAUAACAAUGGCUUUCAGUGUACAUGACUGUCUGGGGCAGUAGCAGUGUCACGUUAAACUGUGGGGUCAACUAAUCAUCCAGCUUCCUCAGAAACCAUUCCAUACAAGAGAAUCUCAAUACAAAAUCCAGAGAACAAUGAAAAAUGCAGCAAUAUAUUUCACCCAACAGUGGUUUAAGAGAUAUACAGCAUUACCUUCAGAAUAACCUUUCUCCAAAGAUGGAACAUGCUCAGUAUUGCUACUAGAGGCCUUUGAGCUCCCUGCAGCAUCAUUUUUGCCAGUUGUAGCUGUACUUUUGACUGAUUCUUCAUUUGGUGCACCCUUUGAAACACUACCCAAAGCAUUGGUCGCUUCAAGAGCUUUGCUUAGCAAGGCACUUCCAUAUCUAUAAAAUGUGCUGGCACACUCCGGAGCAAGUACACCAUAAUGUAGAACCCUAUGUGACACAAAUGAUAUAAAUUUGUCAGUGUCUCGUUUUUAAGCUAGGUUAUAACAUAACAGUAAGGCCAUGAACGUUAAUGUAAUCCAAGAUAUAACAACACAACCAUUUUCUAGACACAUGGUGCUAACUGUGUCAUGUUGGCCGUCUUUCAUAACAACUAACUAGUGCUUGUCGCAGAUUCUGAAGUACCGUGCAUACUUAUAAACUGUACAUCGAAGAAAUUAUUGCAUCUAGCAAAUACUGGAGAGGAAUAUAACACUUCUCAAAUAGGAUAAUACAUAUCCCUCAAGUAUUGAGACUCUGAUAUAAUACUCGUCACAGUACAGACAUCAUAAUGGUUAACGGAAGAUGAGAGGCCCCAACUCCCAGGUAUUUUUAUUAGGUAACAAUCACACUGGCUAAUCGUUGGACUCGCUAAUCCCUCAAAAUCAACACAUACCGUCACGCUUAUCAACACAUGAGACCAAAACACCACCCCUUGGUAAUCACCUUGUCGUAGAACAUCUUAAAUACUACUCCCUCCGUCCCAUAAUAUAAGAACGUUUCUGACACUAGUGUAGUGUCAGAAACGCUCUUAUAUUAUGGGACAGAGGGAGUACUAAACUAACUACAAAUGUCAAAGGAUUAAUGUAACUAAGGACAGAUGAAUAGAGCACUGAACUAAUUGAAAGUUACUAUUGUACACAAUCCAUCCGUACAUACGCUACAACCUGUACCUGUCUUGGAGAAGAAGCAGAAUUUAAGAGUAGAACCCUAACCUGAUCUUGAGAGCGCGCCUGAAGCAGUUAAUGGCGUUGGUGAAGUCCCUCUCCUCAACAGCCUUGCACCCCUUACUGAACAGCUCCUGUGCCAGCUCUAGUGGAGAAUGUGGAGUGUAGAAGCUGACAACUGGAAUCAGAUUACAGAAGUCAUGAUAUUCGAAUACCUUCCUUGCCCGCUCUGAUUGUAUAGUUCGAUUGAGAAGAGGCCAGCAGCUGUGUUAAUGAAAAUGACAUUCACUCCCUCGGCAAAUCCCAACACUUGCACUGAACUAGUUGCAUUCGCAAAAGCAUCAUUUGGAAGCAAAACAUUCAGGUUGAUGACCCGGCUCAGUACCCAUCGGGCAUCGGCGCCGUCACUCAGCACCCUUGACCACAAUUUCAGAUGUUGAUCCAAGUCUUCGCAGACUCCCAGUCCACCAUCCUCGGCCAGCAUGAGGUUAAUUCUCUCCUCGGUGUUGAACUCGCACAAGUUGGGAGGGUUAAACACAGCUAGGCUGUGCCUGACCAAGUCAUACUCUUGGAUAACCUUAACGUCAGACAUGAAGUAGAGUAGAGACCUCCUAACGAGCACGCUGGAAAAGUAUUCAAAGUUGCCGAACUCGCCGUGCAACGAGGUCAGCUCGCCCCAGGCGGCAGUCUCCGAUGAGUAUACGCAUGCCGACGUGACAUAUUGCUCGUCGUCGGAGUCGUCCUCGAAGAAGAUGACGCCGAAGAGGAAUACCACGCGGUUAUGGACAUGCUUAGCAUUCUUAUGAAGAGAAGUAUAUAAGAAAAAAUAGACGUUCCUCACACGAAAUCUAGCUUAUGUACGAAAAGUGACUGCUUGUAUGGUUGUUCUUCCCAAGAUAUAUACUCCAUCCGUCCAGAAAUACUUGUCAGAGAAAUGGAUAAAAAUGGAUGUAUCUAGACCUAAAACACAUCUAGAUACAUCCAUUGCCCUGACAAGUAUUUCCAGACAGAGGGAGUGCAUUUUUUUACUUUGGUUUAUUCGGUAAACCGUUCGGUUUUUCGGUAUAUACCAUAAAAAAUCAGAAUUCAAAAUGGUAUGAAAAGUUCAUACCAUACCGAAACCAUAAAACAUAAAAACAAUAAAUUUGGUUUGGUUUAUAUUAGGUAUAUUUUUCGAUUUGGUUUAAAAAUGCACAGGGUGACUUGCCAUCACAGUCGCCUCCUACGCUCGCCCCUCGCCGGUGUUGCGCCCACCCCCUCCCUGUAGAAUCAAUGUUGAGGACAUCAUGGCUCACAACCAACGGCAGUGGAAGCAAAAUUGGCGAUGGUGCUGGUUCCAGCAAAGCAAAACGCCGGCGGCAUCAAAAUUGCAAAAUUGGCGUUGAUUCCACCAAAACCAAAAACAUCGAUGAUAGCAAAAAUUGGGCGCUGGUUCUAGCAAACCAAAAAAAAUGAUGGUAGAAAAAAUUCAAAAUUGGGCGUUGGUUCCAACAAACCAAAAUGUCGGGUGGUAGCAAAAUUGGGUGAUCGUUCCAGCAAAAAUUAACGCCGGUGGUAAAAAGUUGGGCACUGGUUCCAGCAAAAAACUAAUGCCAUCAUCGUUGCAUCGCCAUCGACCGCGCAGUUUCCAUCACCUCGUUUCGUUCGAUGCGCACCCGGGCAGACCUUUGGUGUUGCGUGUGCAAAACACGGCAUCAGGGACGAGAGACGCCCCCUUUUUGGUUCGGUGUUGGGGCACUAACAAGCUCAAGCCCUCUAUCUACGACAUCGUGGUUCUUACCCAGGUUCGGGCAGCUGGAAAAGUGUAAAACCCUACGUCCUGCUAAAUUGUAUUGCUGGAUGUGAUGAACUAGAAGUUAGAACGAUGAACUUUUCUUGUCGGGCCAAAGAAAGUGCAGUGGUGCAUGGGACAUAAACUCUUAGGAGUUCAACCAUUAUAUACAUAGCUUGGGCCUCAUUUUAUACUCAUAAGGGGUCACCCCAAUGGCUACAACAGAAUAUGUACAGUACAUGUACCUAUCACACUAAAUACAUGGGUAUGUGACCCGGGGCGUACACAUCUUGUCAUGGCAGGCUUUACUGAUAACACUCUUUUACCGUGGCGCAUCACUAUUCACUAGCAAGGUGUCGCACACACGGUAAAAGGGAUGGUGAUUCACCGUGCGUGCCACCUAAUCUGGUUUGAGGCGUGCUCCCCACUUGACAGUUGGAUCUGCGCCACUGUCACUAGUAUGCCUCUCAGAAUUAGCAAGAACAGAAAAACAUUUUUUAAACAGUAAAAGAUUGAAUUAGACCGUAAAUGUUUCUCAAAUGAUGUUACUUGCUGCACAUUAGCAGCAGAUUGAGAUACUAGUAUAACUGAUUUGCCAACUCCUCUAAGAGUAGAAAAUACUGCUUGUCUCUGAAAAUUAGCAGGAGUAGAAAAUCAUAAUGCUAAGAAACAGAGGGAAAGAUCUUGCAACAGAUGCAACAUGUAGACCAUAAAUGACUGGGAACAAAUGCACCAUAACUUAAAAAAUUCAAAAUAAUAUAUUGAUGCACAAGUGAUCCAAUCUUGGUCGCUUUCUAUUGACCAAGUGAUCCAGUUUUGGUUGUUUUCUGGUGCACAUCAGCUUAGCACUUGCUGCACAUUAUCAGCAGCAGACUGAGAUAUUAGUACAGCUGAUAUGUACGCAAGGCCUCCUCCUCUAGCAGAUCGAUACAUCACAGUAAAGUUCAAACAACAUAAGGUUUUGCGGAGCACGACAAACAACUUGUAUAUCCACAAGACCACAACAGAAGGCGAUGGGAAGGUAUCACUGGAAACAACAAAUCAAUGGAUGGGCAUCUCGCUGCAGAGAGCCGCUGAUGAUCAGAUCAAAUAUCUAGUAACCAGAUCAAAUGCUGAAUGACAACAACUUCUAUCUUCCCACUUUUAUACAAUUCAACAGAUAAGUAUUGAUCAUUGAGGGAACACAAUGAGCAGGGACUAGUAACAUCUUGUCAGGACAUCCCAGGCAUAUCUUGGUAGUUUCAGAUCGUCUAUCUAGCUGAUAUCAUAUUUCUUUCACGGAUGAUGAAUCAUCCGCUGCAAAAAUCUUUGGAGAAGGCGCAUACUUCUCAUUAGCUGUUUCAUGCAUGUGCUAACAAUCCCAACGUACAUUACACCACUUCCGAUGCUUCCUGUUGUUGCUGCUGUACACAUAGUUGGGGAACGGAAGCUGUGGUUUGAUCCGGCCAUCUGUGAAGAAGUCAAAGAUGCAGCACCUUCCACAGUAUUCUUGACGUUCUGCUCCUGACUCGGCAUUGAGACAACCUUCUU
rnacentral:lncRNA from 1 species